rnacentral:rRNA from 1 species
UACGAAGGGGGCUAGCGUUGCUCGGAAUCACUGGGCUUAAAGGGUGCGUAGGCGGGGCUUUAAGUCAGGGGUGAAAUCCUGGAGCUCAACUCCAGAACUGCCUUUGAUACUGAGGAUCUUGAGUUCGGGAGAGGUGAGUGGAACUGCGAGUGUAGAGGUGAAAUUCGUAGAUAUUCGCAAGAACACCAGUGGCGAAGGCGGCUCACUGGCCCGAUACUGACGCUGAGGCACGAAAGCGUGGGGAGCAAACAGG